GAUGAACGCUAGCGGCAGGCUUAAUACAUGCAAGUCGAGGGGCAGCACGUCCCGCAGCAAUGCGGGAUGGUGGCGACCGGCAAACGGGUGCGGAACACGUACGCAACCUUCCCUUUAAGUGGAGAAUAGCCCGGGGAAACCCGGAUUAAUACUCCGUAACAUUAUAAAGUGGCAUCACUUUAUAAUUAUAGAUUCAUCGCUUAAAGAUGGGCGUGCGCCUGAUUAGGUAGUUGGCGGAGUAAUAGCCCACCAAGCCUGCGAUCAGUAACUGGUGUGAGAGCACGACCAGUCACACGGGCACUGAGACACGGGCCCGACUCCUACGGGAGGCAGCAGUAAGGAAU
rnacentral:rRNA from 1 species